ACCUCCUUCUCCUUCUUCUUCCUGCGUUUCCUUGGACGAUUUCAGAAAUUGUUGGUAGCGAUGAUCGAGAGGUCGAAUGUCUUCCGUGGAUCUUCCUUUCGAUUCCUACGAUGAUUCUCUCUCUUCGGUGGAUCUUCUUGUGAGUUUCUUGAUGUAUCCUCUUGAAUAUGUACUAUGAUUCUUGCUUUCAGCUGUGUUCUCUCUCUCUUCUCUUCGGUGGAUCUUUCUUUGGCUUCGGAGGCUAUUUCGAUUCCGGGAGGAACGAUGAUUUCCCAUUUUUCCCCUUUCCUUUCGGCUUCUUCUUCUUCUUCCCCUGAUUCAUUAUGUUUCUUCUCUGCGUCUUCGUCGCUCCAUUGAUCCUCUUUCUCCCUCUCUCUAUUACGGGUUCAGCAAGCGUCGGCUUUACCCAGGUUUUCAAAAACCAGAAGCCUGGAUUUCCCACUAGUUUAUCUUACCACUUGGUUUUGUUCUGUAUCUGCUCAUGGUGAAACCCUAGAAUCGGAGCCAGUGUUUCAAUUCUUCACCUGGAGAGUGUUUCCUUUCCGGAAAUUUUAUCCCGUGGGUUGGGAAUGGAAUCUGAUGAACUGGGUCGAUCGCUUAUUUUGAUUUUAUCGGCUUAGAUCUCGAAAGUUUCUUGCUUGAUAUUCUAGCAUUAGGAUUGGUGAUUCAGAAGACAUAAGUGACCGGGAAAACCAUAAGGUUGAAAGUGAGGGUGAAGAUUAUGAGUAUGGGCUAGAGGAUUACAUAACUGAAGAAGAAGAUGAUGAAAAGGAUAGCGAGGAAGAUGAAGAAGGGAAUGACACAAUAAGAUUGUUAUUUGGCAUUUUUCUGGUGAGCAACUUGAAGAUCACUGAAGUUUCAAUAUGCUGAUGGUGGAAAGAAAUGCUUCCAGGAGCCUGUCAAGUUUCAAUAGUGAAAAUAUCUGAAAAUUGGUUUUGAAGAAUAUCUUCUUUCCGAGAUAAGGCAGUGGACAACGGGUGCAGCUGUUAUUAAAGGAAAGCUCCAUGCCUUCAACCAGGUGCCUGGAGAAGUAACACAGGUGCCUGUCGGAAUUCUUCGAGACGGUCGGCCCAGCAUAGAAGCGUGGUGCAGAUGCACAGUGAUGAAGAUGAAUAACACGACAAUAAUGUCGACGACGCACAAGGCGCAGUGGUUUAGCGGCUAUGCCGAAAAAAAAGUGGCUCAAAUGCGCGCGGCUAAAGCCAAAAAAAGAAAAAGAAGGUGGCGCAAAUGCGUGGACCGACGAUCGAAGUGUUCCAAUCGAAGAGGCUAAACGCUGGGUUUAGAAGAGAUCCUUACGACGUUUAGUCGUACAGGUUUUGAUACCAUAAUAGAUAAAGAGAUGAAGAAUCAUUGGAUUUUUCAUUAUUCAACAUGGAACAUUACAACAUUUAUAAUAGAAAACGAAAUAUAAUGGAGCAGUCAUACAUUCUUAAAAGGAUAAGAUGAACAUACAUUUGAUUAUAGUCGCUCGUUCCAAUAUGAAUACUUCACAUCCUCGAGUUUUCCAGUUUUAUGAAGCUCCUUGUGACAGCCUAGGAUACCGUAGGAGGACGAGGAGUGAUUGCCGGUGCGAGAGGCAUGGACAAUGGGCGGCUCCUGACGAGCUUCUGGGUAGGGGGUACAGAGAUGAAUCAGACGCACCGGAAUGAGAGGGAUUCGAGGGUUGUGUACGUAUGAGACUACACAAUCAAAGAUAACUUAAAGGAAUUGAUUGAGUUACUCAUAACAACAAGAUGCAUCUAACUUUUCGGUUAACCAUCUCGACAGAACUCCAAAGUUAAGCGUGCUAGUUUUGGAGUAGUCUUAGGAUGGGUGACCUCCUGGGAAAUACUUUCCAGGAUGUGUGCGAGUGAGGAUGAAACAUGCUAAAAGGUCUCAUGUUGGUGUAUGGGGACAGCUCUAUCACCAUAUCGGUCUCAGGUCAUUACAAAUGGUAUCAAAGCCGGUUCUCUUCCAGUACGGUGUGGUUCGAGGACGAAUCAGGCGGAAGCUGGUGGGUCUGUGACAACCAGGAUACCAUAUGAGGGCGGGGAGUGAUCGCUGGUGCGAGAAGCAUGGACAAUGGGCGGCUCCUGACGAACUUCUAGAUAGGGGUACAAGGAUGAAUCGGACGCACCAGAAUGAGAGGGAUUCGAUGACUGUGUAGGUAUGAGACUACACAGUCAAAGAUAACUUAAAAAAAUUGAUUGAGUUACUCAUAACAACAAGAUGCAUCUACCUUUUCGGUUAACCAUCUCGAGAGAACUCCAAAAUUAAGCGUGCUAGCUUUGAAGUAGUCUUAGGAUGGGUGACCUCCUGGGAAGUAUUUUCUGGGAUGUGUGCGAGUGAGGACAAAACACGCUAAAAAGUCUCGUGUUGGUGUGUGAGGACAACUCUAUCAUUCCGUCGCGGCCUCGGGUCGUUACACUCCUCAAUGAAAGUAUCCAUACCCACGCCCUUUUCAAAUCAAAACUAAAGAAGUCAUUUUACAAUAUAUAGAUAUAGCAAUUCAUUGAGGAAAAACUUAUAUCAUCUAUGAUGCCUAAAUCAUCUAUGUUACCUAGUCUGUCUAACGGGUAACCCACGACUAAGGCGGAUAUAGAAAACUUAGAAAUCUGCAUAAAAAUAUAGACAUAUGUUAGUAAUGGUAUAUAAAACCAUAUAGAGCUUAUCAGUGGAUCGAGUCGGUUCGAUUCAGAUAAAUAACUAAUAGGUUUUGAUUAUCCGAUUAAACCGAUUGAAAUUUAAAAAUUAGGGUUUGCUACCUAAGUCUUCUCUCUUCUCUGUCGACACGAUACAUUGGACAUUGGUGCCCCUAUGUCACAGGGUUAGAUUCGAGAUAUGAAUCUUUCCGUGCGGCAGUCUAGUCUCGGUGUGGAAAAAAGAAGUUUCGGGCAAACUGGGUUACACUUGAAAACUCCGGGAGAUUAGACUAAUUCUUUGGUUCCUUAAGGAACGAAUGAUGAGAACGAGAAAGAGAUGGGUGAAGCCUGCAACAACAAAUUUAUUGAUAAGGGUAAAAGAUACAAUGGCCGACGGCGGUUCGGUACAAGGAGGACAACACGACGACGAUUUGAAAGCCGAGGCGUGUAACCGGAAAGGAGAACGAACCGACAACGUAAGAACAAAGUUCGGAACUUAGAGAGAGAAUUGGGGAAAAAACAAGAUUCUCUCUCAACAAAUGACUAGCCUAUUUAUAGAAGAGACUUAACAAUCUCUUGGUGGAGAGUUCACAAAAUUCGGCCCCUAAUUAACUCCACAUGUACCUAUUUUUCGGGAGUAAAAACAGGAAAAGUGGGAAGACUCCUUCCAUUGUCUCCCUUAGUGCCACGAUUUAAGGAAGGGUGUUGGGAAUAUUCUUCUACACUCAUUUCUCAGUGUCAAAAAACCGAAAGAGAAUGUCAGGAUAUCCCUUAGACCAAAUACAAUGAACCUAGACAAACUAAAUGGGCUUUGGCCCGAGCCCAAACCAUGGAGAAUGGUCGGAACGUCCAAGAACUCAUCUUCGACCAUGUCCGCCAAACGAUAAGUCUAGGGACUUAGCAAAUUUUGGUUUUGGUUUGUCCAUGGCCGCGAUCUGGAACUCUCCGGAUCAUGUGAGGAAUGUUCAGGAGUCCGUCCUUGGUCUGUGUCCCGCUUGGAAAUAAGAUAGAGUCUUUCGGCUGUG